rnacentral:rRNA from 1 species
AUGCUGGAGGUAUCAGAAGUGCGAAUGCUGACGUGAGUAACGACAAAACGGGUGAAAAACCCGUUCGCCGAAAGACCAAGGGUUCCAGUCCAACGUUAAUCGGGGCUGGGUGAGUCGACCCCUAAGGCGAGGCCGAAAGGCGUAGUCGAUAAGCCUGGUGAUAGCUGGUUCUCCCCGAAAGCUAUUUAGGUAGCGCCUCGGACGAAUACCAUAGGGGGUAGAGCACUGUUUCGGCUAGGGGGUCAUCCCGACUUACCAAACCGAUGCAAACUCCGAAUACCUAUGAGUACUAUCCGGGAGACAGACUGCGGGUGCUAACGUCCGUAGUCAAGAGGAAAACAAUCCAGACCGCCAGCUAAGGCCCCAAAAUCAUAGUUAAGUGGGAAACGAUGUGGGAAGGCAUAGACAGCUAGGAGGUUGGCUUAGAAGCAGCCACCCUUUAAAGAAAGCGUAAUAGCUCACUAGUCGAGUCGGCCUGCGCGGAAGAUGUAACGGGGCUAAAACUAUGUGCCGAAGCUGCGGAUUUGACAUUAGUCAAGUGGUAGGGGAGCGUUCUGUAAGCCGAUGAAGGUGUAUUGAGAAGUAUGCUGGAGGUAUCAGAAGUGCGAAUGCUGACGUGAGUAACGACAAAACGGGUGAAAAACCCGUUCGCCGAAAGACCAAGGGUUCCAGUCCAACGUUAAUCGGGGCUGGGUGAGUCGACCCCUAAGGCGAGGCCGAAAGGCGUAGUCGAUGGGAAAAUGGUUAAUAUUCCAUUACUUCUGUGUAAUGCGAUGAGAGGACGGAGAAGGCUAAAUCAGCCUGGCGUUGGUUGUCCAGGUGAAAGGAUGUAGGCAUGUAUCUUAGGCAAAUCCGGGGUACUCUAUGCUGAGAUCUGAUAGCAAGCUGUACUUGUACAGCGAAGUGGUUGAUGCCAUGCUUCCAGGAAAAGUCUCUAAGCUUCAGUUACACAGGAAUCGUACCCGAAACCGACACAGGUGGUCAGGUCGAGUAGACCAAGGCGCUUGAGAGAACUCUGCUGAAGGAACUAGGCAAAAUGGUACCGUAACUUCGGGAGAAGGUACGCUGUUGUUGGUGAUGGAACUCGCUUCCUGAGCUGACGACAGCCGCAGAAACCAGGCCGCUGCAACUGUUUAUUAAAAACAUAGCACUCUGCAAACACGAAAGUGGACGUAUAGGGUGUGAUGCCUGCCCGGUGCUGGAAGGUUAAUUGAUGGGGUUAGCGUAAGCGAAGCUCUUGAUCGAAGCCCCAGUAAACGGCGGCCGUAACUAUAACGGUCCUAAGGUAGCGAAAUUCCUUGUCGGGUAAGUUCCGACCUGCACGAAUGGCAUAAUGAUGGCGGCGCUGUCUCCAGCAGAGGCUCAGUGAAAUCGAAAUCGCUGUGAAGAUGCAGUGUACCCGCGGCUAGACGGAAAGACCCCGUGAACCUUUACUGCAGCUUGACACUGAACUUUGACCUUACUUGUGUAGGAUAGGUGGGAGGCUUUGAAGCUGGAACGCUAGUUCCAGUGGAGCCGUCCUUGAAAUACCACCCUGGUAAUGUUGAGGUUCUAACUCUGUCCCGUGAUCCGGGACGAGGACCGUGUCUGGUGGGUAG